rnacentral:hammerhead_ribozyme from 1 species
AGUCAUCUGAAGAGUCCCAAAUAGGACGAAACGCCCCCCCCCUGGAU